CUCAAAGUUGGAACCUGUUUGGCCUAGCUAAACCGGAUUGUAGACUGUAGAAGUGUUUUCCAGGCAAGCCGAGUAAAUAAGUCCUUUGGAACAGGGCAUCAUAGAGGGUGAGAAUCCCGUCUUUGGCUUGAGCAUUUGCCUUUUGUGAUACGCUUUCAAAGAGUCAGGUUGUUUGGGAAUGCAGCCUAAAUUGGGUGGUAAAUCUCACCUAAAGCUAAAUAUUGGCGAGAAACCGAUAGCGAACAAGUACCGUGAGGGAAAGAUGAAAAGAACUUUGAAAAGAGAGUUAAACAGUAUGUGAAAUUGUUAAAAGGGAACCGUUUGGAGCCAGACUGGCUUGUCUGUAAUCAAUCUAGGCUUCGGCCUGGAUGCACUUGCAGGCUAUGCCUGCCAACGACAAUUUGACUUGAGGGAAAAAACUAAGGGAAAUGUGGCCCACUUGUGGGUGUUAUAGUCCCUUAGAAAAUACCUUGGGUUGGAUUGAGGAACGCAGCGAAUGCUUUUUGGCGAGUUUUCCAGGAAGGUUUUCUGAGGUACUACGGUAUCAAGGUUGGAUCUUUUUGGUUAUACUUCUAUU
rnacentral:rRNA from 2 species